CCGAGCUCCUGCCCUUCGGGGUAGAGACGCCACCCUUGUAUACCUGACAGUUGUUGCUUUGGCGGGCCCGCCCGCCAGAGACCCCAAACCCUGAGUGUUAGUGUCGUCUGAGUACUAUACAAUAGUUA
rnacentral:misc_RNA from 1 species